AGUGAACGCUGGCGGUAGGCCUAACACAUGCAAGUCGAACGGCAGCACAGUAAGAGCUUGCUCUUACGGGUGGCGAGUGGCGGACGGGUGAGGAAUACAUCGGAAUCUACUUUUUCGUGGGGGAUAACGUAGGGAAACUUACGCUAAUACCGCAUACGACCUACGGGUGAAAGCAGGGGAUCUUCGGACCUUGCGCGAUUGAUUGAGCCGAUGUCGGAUUAGCUAGUUGGCGGGGUAAAGGCCCACCAAGGCGACGAUCCGUAGCUGGUCUGAGAGGAUGAUCGGCCACACUGGAACUGAGACACGGUCCAGACUCCUACGGGAGGCAGCAGUGGGGAAUAUUGGACAAUGGGCGCAAGCCUGAUCCAGCCAUACCGCGUGGGUGAAGAAGGCCUUCGGGUUGUAAAGCCCUUUUGUUGGGAAAGAAAAGCAGCAGGUUAAUACCCCGCUGUUCUGACGGUACCCAAAGAAUAAGCACCGGCUAACUUCGUG
rnacentral:rRNA from 1 species